CAGCGUGCGGUGCGAUCCUUCAGAGCCCUCACGUUAUUCUUGCUUCCGUUUGAGAUGAGAAAUACCUUGAGAGAACAGUUUUAACAUCACCGUCUCCAGUUCCAGGGCUGACGCUGCCGCGUAUUCACUCACUUGAAGUUACCACCUCAAGCAUCCAGCGCGCAGGCAUCAUUUCUUCAGAGAAACAGCAUUUAACCAGCCUAAGAUAAACUCAACCUUCUCCUACUCAGCAGAGCCUGUCAAGCCUCCUGCUAACGCCAUUCCAGAAAUGCUGAUGGCUCCAUCUUUCCCGGGCGAAGGGAGCUGGAAUCUCCAAGGACAACCGUUUCCCCAGCUAUGUCUUUUGGACAUUACCAAUGUCUCCUCUUGAUUAUAAACAGACAAAACUGGAGGACUGGGAACUGCAAAUGAAGCUGCAACAGACACACUGGCCACUGAAAAAAACAAUAAAUACCAUCAGCUACCCAAGCACUUGGGUAAAGUGUGUCACAAUCCUGCUCUGGCAAACACAGGCAGCUGCUUGGAACACCCCAGUCCAUAAGGAGCAGUUUGUGUGUGAGUGACUGCAGGCUGCCAAGGGACUGUGCUUCCUUGAUUUCCUAGAACAGCAGAAUCCCUAGGAUUGACCUUUGGGAGUUCACUGUCAUCACAUGCUCCUCUGCAGCUGGUUUCUGUUUGGCAAGACAGUGAGGCACAAAAAUCCAUCUCAGUGGCUCAAAAGGAAAAGGGGAAAAAAAAAAGUAAUGUCUCUUUCCCCAAAAUUGGCUGCAUUUCUGUCGUGUCCAGGGAAUUAUUAUGUAUUUCAAAUGGCUGUGAGUAAUUUGGAAGGAGCCUCUCAUAAUGAGGCUCAAGCCUCUUGCUUUUUUCUCCCUGCAGGCACAAUAGUUUCCAGGGAUAUCUUUGGGAGUUUCAGACAUGUGGAGGAAACAGACUGUCAAAGGCAGAUUCUCUUGUGUGGAUUUGAGACAAUUUUGCUUUCCAAAUCUUGGGCAAUAAGGCACCCAAAGAGAACAAAUCCAGGAAGUGGAGAGGGAAAACAAGCUUUGCUGCAAAUUAAUUUAUUUCCCCAAGGAGGAUUUAGGUCCUGUUUUUGUACAAGCAGUGAGUGUCCAUUGUAAGAACAGUAACCCACUAACUUCAGUUGGGAAAGAGUGGAGGCCAAACAGCAUCUUGUGAAUGGAUAUAACUGAGGGUGGAUGAACCACUGGGAAUGUAAAGUGCAGGAUAACAGUGUUGCACAUAUUUUCUCAGCCUUGUCUAUGCAGUAAAGUUUUACAAAUCAUGUAGGUGCCCAUAAUAACACUUUAACCCCUUCCUAAGUGCCUCUUAUUUCUGCUCAGCAGAGGCUGAAAUGAGAAAUGUUCCACUUUUAUUAGAACAUAUAGAUUUAACCAGGCAUUGCAGAAACAGCCCAAUGUUCAGCCUCUGUGCUGUAGGUGACACUGAACCCACCUCCCCAUCCAACUUGAAACAUGUCAUAGAGUAUUUUGGCAGCCCCAUUUUAGGGACCUAAAAUUAGUUCCUCUGAAUCACGCUUUAGAAGAGCCUAUUUCUGUCCCAUACUACACAGGAAGCUCAAGUUCCUUGGCACCUCGUUCAGAUGCUGAAAUCAUUCUUGUCCUCAUCCCCCAAAUAGACAAAUUCUCUGUAAAAUAGAACUUUAUGUAAUAGGCGUGUUUCUAAGUUGUCCCUUUGGCACCUUUCAGUGCCAGCUUUGGGUGACUGAACAAUUUAGCAACACUGGGAUGAGGGAAAGGGAUCCUCAUCAAAAAGCAAGUUAUUCCCCUGUAUUUCUAUAAUGGGGAUUUGUGAGAUUUUGGGGGGGGUCACAGACCAGGCCAGGUAGGACACAGGUAACAUGAAGCUCCUGUUGGAUUGGCUAUUCUUUUCCAAACUGUAACAUCACAGAAUGGUUUGGGUU